rnacentral:tRNA from 1 species
AAACUUAGGUUAAACAAACCAGGGACCUUCAAAGCCCCAAACAAGAGUCAGCAAACCCUCCUAGUUUCU